CCUACGGGAGGCUGCAGUGGGGAAUAUUGGACAAUGGGGGCAACCCUGAUCCAGCCAUGCCGCGUGUGUGAAGAAGGCCCUCGGGUUGUAAAGCACUUUCAGUGAGGAAGAACGCCUGGUGGUUAAUACCCAUCAGGAAAGACAUCACUCACAGAAGAAGCACCGGCUAACUCCGUGCCAGCAGCCGCGGUAAUACGGAGGGUGCGAGCGUUAAUCGGAAUUACUGGGCGUAAAGCGCGCGUAGGUGGCUUGAUAAGCCGGUUGUGAAAGCCCCGGGCUCAACCUGGGAACGGCAUCCGGAACUGUCAAGCUAGAGUGCAGGAGAGGAAGGUAGAAUUCCCGGUGUAGCGGUGAAAUGCGUAGAGAUCGGGAGGAAUACCAGUGGCGAAGGCGACCUUCUGGACUGACACUGACACUGAGGUGCGAAAGCGUGGGUAGCAAACAGGAUUAGAUACCCCGGUAGUC
rnacentral:rRNA from 1 species